UAUUUCACUGGCCCCAGCGGCUUGUCCUGUAACUAGGAUCAGGGUGUGCUUGUCUCUUAAAAGUUGCAAAAACCCUUCUGCUCAUUUUUAAAAAUAGAAAUGAGAAGAAACAAAUUCCACUGAGAGUCAAUUCAAUAAGAAGUUGGAUGUUUGUUGACUGAAUCAGGGAUGGCUUCAGAUGACAAUCUUUUCGACUGCCGGACUCUCUCCAUCUCUCUCAGCAUCCAUCCGAUAAGACAGGCUGCUCCUUUGUAGCCAGGGGCUAGCUAUGGAUUCUCUGAAACUCCUGAGAGUUUGCACUAAGGGCAGAAUGGUCAAAGCCUCAGAAAAGUGCUGGCCUACAGAGGGUUCCAGAGCCUUCCCUGUGAACCCAAAGAGCAGGCUGGGCAAUCACCAGCUCAGUGCCCCAGGGAACAGGCUCUGCUUGCAGGGGGUGUGGAGGGAGAAGGGGAAAAAUAAGGCAGAGACUUGGGGGAGAUCCAGGCAAAACAGUUAAGGAUGCUUCAGGCUGGGGAGAAACGUAGACAAUGAGAGACCACGAACUACAUCUUCAGCAUCUUGGGGUUCUUGUUCUUUUCUUAGAAAGAUGCACAGGAAAACAAGCUUUCAUAUAAUCUCAGAAAUAUACAACAAAAACAAAACCCAAAAAGACUUCCCUGAAGUGCCUCCAUACCACGGAGACACAGAGGCCUCGAGUCAAGCUGAGCAGGGUCUUCCUAACCUCUUUAUUUCAGGCAGGAAGCUGAGGCCCAGAGAUCAAGUCCCCUUUAAAAGCUCACAGAGUUAGUUAGUCAUGGCAGAAUUGGACCAAACCCGGUCCCUGGGCGUCUAGGAGACACAUGCCCCUUUCUAAGACCCCACACAGCAGCAGUGCCGCAUGGCAGCCACAGCUUUGUAGACUUGGUGCUCAUGACGGUGAGGCCAUGAUGGAGGUGCUUCUUCUUUGGCCAAGUGUGGAAUGCAUGUUGGUUUCCUUAGUAACAAGGAUCUCUGGAUGGCCAGGGAGGGACCACACUUAGAGGGCUCUACAUGGGACCUCUUCUUUUUGCCAUUUCCACGAUGUGCUGGGCCGCGUCUUGGUGGGGCUUCAGAUGUGAAGUCAAUAGUCCUCACUAGAGAGAACUCAACAUGGAGGCGGGUUGCUCCACAGUGUUGGUGGCUUGUGACUGUUAUCUGCCUGGCAGCCUACUCUGAAGCAGGCAGGCCUCUCUGGAGAGGCUCCUUCAUCAUCUGGGUACUGUCGAGGUCUCCUUCAGAUGGAUGGUUCUACCUACAGGUUCCAGAUUCAGAGUCACCAGCAUCCCAAACGGAG
rnacentral:lncRNA from 1 species